CUGUUCGAGCGUCAUUUAAACCCUCAAGCCCUGCUUGGUGUUGGGUGCAGGUCGACCGAGACCCGCCCGUAACUCGUUGGUGGUCGGCGUUGCCUCUAAGCGUAGCAGAAACUUUCGUUCUGAGCGCGGCGCCCUCCCGCCCGGAAAACCCACUUCUAAAGUUUGACCUCGGAUCAGGUAGGGAUACCCGCUGAACUUAA
rnacentral:misc_RNA from 1 species